rnacentral:rRNA from 1 species
AUGCGUGUUCAUCUUCCAAGCUGGUUGUACCAAAUCGAGUGGGAUGCGUGUCCAUCACGAAAGCUUGUAAGUGCGUUCUCUUGGAGCCCAGUUCUGACCGAGGCGUGGGCCGCGCGUUCGAGCUACUGCUGUUGCGCCGGCACCAGCAAGGCCGCAUCUCGCGUCGCUAAUCUGGAAAGGCGGAUGCCAGUCACCAGGGAGGUCACGGGUGCCGGGAAAGAGAACUUUGGCGCUGCGUUGAAAGGCCUCUUGUUCCUUUUUCGUCCCAGCCCGAGGAAGGGCAACAGAUUUCUCAUCCAAUGA